GACGAACGCUGGCGGCGUGCUUAACACAUGCAAGUCGAACGGAAAGGCCCUGCUUUUGUGGGGUGCUCGAGUGGCGAACGGGUGAGUAACACGUGAGUAACCUGCCCUUGACUUUGGGAUAACUUCAGGAAACUGGGGCUAAUACCGGAUAGGAGCUCCUGCUGCAUGGUGGGGGUUGGACAGUUUCGGCGGUUGGGGAUGGACUCGCGGCUUAUCAGCUUGUUGGUGGGGUAGUGGCUUACCAAGGCUUUGACGGGUAGCAGGCCUGAGAGGGUGACCGGCCACAUUGGGACUGAGAUACGGACCAGACGACUACGGGAGGAAGCAGUGGGGAAUAUUGCACAAUGGGAGGAAGCCUGAUGCAGCAACGCCGCGUGCGGGAUGACGGCCUUCGGGUUGUAAACCGAUUUCGCCUGUGACGAAGCGUGAGUGACGGUAAUGGGUAAAGAAGCACCGGCUAACUACGUG
rnacentral:rRNA from 1 species